rnacentral:lncRNA from 1 species
CUCAGAUUUUGCCACUGACCUGGGUUUGCUAAUAUUCCCCCCAGUAUUCCUCCCACGCCUUCUCUCCCUUUGUACUGAAGGCAGGCUUUGAACUGGUGUUUUAUUCUGUGAUUUUUAUGCAGAAAAGGGCUUUGGGUUUUCCCCCUUUCCUUUCUAUUUUUUCUGAUAGUUGAUUUGAGUUGGUUCCAACCUAACUUUGUACCAAAGCUUUUCUCUCUGUCCUGAAGGGCUGAAGGCAUAAUCACUGCUUUCUCAUUUAAAUUCUAAAAUUACCUUUCAAAUCUUACCUUUGCAUUUAUUUUGUGAAAAUCUUUUCUGGCCUUUUAAGGGAUGAGCAAACACAGUUUCAGCAGUGCAGGAGUGGAAAAAGGCCAGAAAUUGCUCCCUGCCCUCUUGACACAGAAUUUGCAUAAUUCCAGACCAUGGCAUUGCAGCCAGUCUCCCAGGGAAUGGCACACAUGUCCUGUUUGCUGGGUGUUUUGGGGGAGACACAAUAAGGAAGGGUUUUCUGCUGAGGAGGAGAUAAGCUCACAAGACCUGAGGAUGAGAACAUUUAAUUACCAUUCUGCUAUUGCUCAGCAUGACCUGGUUAACCUUCAUUCCCUUCCUCAAAGGUGACUGCAGGCUCCUGAAUCCAUUGAUAUAAGAUAAAUUCCUGUCAGAGGUCCUAAAUGUAUUCAAGAAGUCUGGAAGGGAACCUUUGCAGCUACUCCUGGGAGGUGUAGGCUGGUGGUUUUUGAAGCAAUGGGAAAUGACAGUCAGAAGCCAGCUCAAAACAAGUGGUUUCAGUACAGGAGUUAAUGUUCCAGUGAGUCCAGGCUGAUUAGCUGCCAGCUAAUCAAUAAUCAAAUUAUUUACCUGCAAAUAAAAAAUUUCUGAGCCCCCCCA